UAGUCCAAUUUAAAAUUUAUCACUGAAGGGCAGAGGGCAUCUGUCAGUCAUAAAUAGCAAGAAAAAUAAGCAUACUAUGAAAUAAUAGGUGACUUUGUGGUGUUUGGAGUACAGAGUAUUUUGUUUAUUAGUAGAUAUUGUGUGAAUUUAUUUAAACUCCAGAUGAAGCUGAUGUAGCCAGUAGAAAAUAUUUUGCAUGAUGAUUCCUUUCAUUAAACAUUCUGCCUCACUGUGCUUUUUUACUUCAGGAAAAUUCAAGGAGGAGCAACACUGCUUUAGGUCCUUCCCUCUCUUUCCCCCAACUGUCUGUUCCUGCCGCUUCAGCUUUCUCUUCUACUAUGUAAGAUGAUGUGUAAAAAGACUGAAUAUACCUCUAAGUAUAUAUAAUACAUGUAGGUAUAUGAAUACAUGUAUCUAUGUAUUAUUGAGCAUUUUAGCUGUUAAUACCUUGAAAGUUUAACUAUUAAUAUUUGGAAUUGUAAGAGGAAAUGCUUAAAAUGCUAUAUACAUGUAUAUAUACACACACACUAUAUAUAUAUGGCAACAUCAAGUAAUACCAUUCUGAUCUUAUGGUUUGAGUUAUAUAAAGCAUAGGACUUUGUUAAAGCCAAAAGAUGACCCUUAUUCUUACCAUCUGUUAUUGUUUUCUUGAGAAGGCUAUUUGUUUAGGAUAAAUUUACUUUAAGCCUCGUUGAAGAACAAGUUUUACAUUAUCCUGUUACUGGUGUCCAGUCUUUUAUAAAUUUGUAAAAUUUGUUUAAUACCUACCUUAGAGGUAGGUUCUAGAUAUUGAAUAAGCCAACACUUGUUAAAGGCUUAUGUUUAUGGCUUUCUAAUAAGCACUCUUAAGUAAUACAUUUUUAAUUCUUUUUUUUUGUCUUUUUUUUUUUUUUGCCGUUUCUUUGGCCACUCCCGUGGCAUAUGGAGGUUCCCAGGCUAGGGGUCUAAUUGGAGCUGUAGCUGCCAGCCUACGCCAGAGCCAGAGCAACGCAGGAUCCGAGCCGCAUCUGCGACGUACACCACAGCUCACAGCAAUGCCAGAUCCUUAACCCACUGAGCAAGGGCAGGGAUCAAACCCGCAACCUCAUGGUUCCUAGUCGGAUUCGUUAACCACUGCGCCAUGACGGGAACUCCAGUAAUACAUUUUUUAAAUUGUCCUUUUAUAUCCAAAAGUUUGUCUUUAUUGCCAACAUUGAUCAAAUAUGCCCAUUCGGUAGGUUGGGGUCUUUUGCUAACUAUUCAGUUUGAUAGAUUGUCUUACUUUUAAUUGAAAAACAUUCCAUACUGAGUGUGUGUUUUUUGUGUUGUUGAAAUAUAUAUAAGGUGCGUCUUAUAGAAAAAUCACCCAUUUAGAUUGAGAAAGAAAUUUGUCAUUAAGGGAAGAAUGAGUUUGUAUACACCCAGUUGUAGAAAAGGGAGGCCUCCCAUUUUUUAAAAGGUGUAGACAGUACUGAAAAUCUUACCAUGGCAAGGAAUAAAAAGGACAGGCAUCUUAAAAUUAACAUGUGCUGAAACGAAUAUUUGAAUCCAAACUGUCUUCCUCAUUUCCAUAAACAGUACCACCAAUACUUCACUCACUUGUGUGGACACAAAAGUAGAAAUCAUCUGUGAUUCCUCACACACUAGGUCCAACUCAUCAGCCAGUACCAUCAGCUCUUCCUUAUAUGUAUUUUGAGUUCAGCCAUUUCUCAUCACCUUUUAUGCUACCACCCUGUCCAGGCUACCAUCAUCACCCACCCAGCAAUAUCCAAUAUCCAUGCUAUCUCUGCUUCCACUUUUCCCUGCUUCCCUUUAAACCAUUUUCUACACACCAGCCAGAGUGGUCAUUUAAAGAAAAUGAUUAGGUUGUGUUGCUUACUUGUUUAAAAGUCUCUAAUGGUUUCCUUGAAAUAGAAUAAAAUCCAAUUUUUUUUACCAUGUCCUAUAAAACUGCAUAAUUUGGCUCCUACCUACCUCUUCAACCUCAUCUUAUUCUCACCCUUCUUAUUAUCUCCUUUCUGUUUCUGUCACAUACCAAGCUUUUCCCAGUCUGUAGCACAGACUAUUAGGUGUCCCCUAAAAUUCCUCUUUUUUUUUUUCCAUAGUAGUGGAUAUGGACAUGUGGCUGUCCAGAAUAAAAACUGUUUUCCAGCUUCCCUGUAGCCAUGUGGUAGUUCUGGCCAGUGGAAUCGAAGUAGAUAUGUGGCUGUCUGCCAGAACCAUCCGUAAAAGAUAGCUGGUGCACACCUUUAGUCCUUUGCUUCUUUUCCUCUUAUGUCGUACACCCUGAAUAUAGAUGUGAUGGCCUGGAAUGCUAGCUGCCUUUUGGGUCAUAUGCAAGCUCCCCUAUCCUAGGGAUGGCAAAACCUCAAGCUGGUGAGAAGUUGGGUCCUUGAGACCUUUAUGGAGUACGUAUCAGCCCUAUAGAUUUUGAUCUGUGGAAAAUAUAAACUUCCAUCUUGCCAAAGCCACUAUUUAGGAUAUCUUAUUCUCAAUUGAACUUAACUGAUACUCCAUCUCAGGACCUUUGCACUUGGGAUUUUUUUUUUCUGCCUGGGAUGUGCUUUCACUAUGUCUGUGUAGCUAACUCAUUCUCAUCCUUUAGUUCUUAAUUCAGAUACCAUUUCUGACUGGCCUUCCCUGGCCACCACAUCUAAAGCAGCUCCUUUUCCCAUUUAUUCUCUCUUACAUGACCCUCUGAUUUUUUAAGAGCAUUUAUGAUUGUAUCCGUAUCUUCUUUAUUAUUAUCUCUUUCCUUUCACCCUACUAAAAAUGUAAGCUCCAUGAGAGCAGACUACACCUUUUUGUUGAGUGUUUUAUCCCACACACAUAUAAACCAAUGAACCAUUGAAUGAAUGAAAUAGUAGAUCUUUAUUAGGUAGACUUUUCUUUUUUUUUUUUUUUUUGCCACUUCUUGGGCCGCUCCCGCAGCAUAUGGAGGUUCCCAGACUAGGGGUCUAAUCGGAGCUAUAGCUGCCAGCCUAUGCCAGAGCCACAGCAACGAGGGAUCCGAGCCGCGUCUGCAACCUACACCACAGCUCACGGCAAUGCCGGAUCAUUAACCCACUGAGCAAGGGCAGGGAUCAAACCCGCAACCUCAUGGUUCCUAGUCGGAUUCGUUAACCACUGUGCCACGACGGCAACUCCCUAAAAUUAUUUUACAUACACACCCAUAUAUAUGUACAAAUACGGGAACUCCUAUUAGGUAGACUUUUAAAAAACACAUGUUUUUAAUAAUUUGGCAAGAUUACAAAACUAAGAAGUGACAGAGUUAGGAUUCAAAUAUAAUGACCCCAAAAAUCCAUGUUCUGAAACACAAGAUGCUCAUAGAACUCGAAAUUCCCGUUGUGGCACAGCAGCAACAAGUCUGACUAGGAACCAGGAGGUUGCGGGUUCGAUCCCUGGCCUCGCUCAGUGGGUUAAGGAUCCGGUGUUGCCGUGAGCUGUGGUGUAGGUUGCAGACACGGCUCCAAUCUCGAGUUGCUGUGGCUGUGGAGUAGGCAGGCAGCUGUAGCUCUGAUGAGACCUCUAGCCUGGUAACCUCCAUAUGCCAUGAGUGAGCCCCU
rnacentral:lncRNA from 1 species